rnacentral:rRNA from 1 species
CCUACGGGGAGCAGCAGUGGGGAAUAUUGGACAAUGGGCGAAAGCCUGAUCCAGCCAUGCCGCGUGUGUGAAGAAGGCCUUCGGGUUGUAAAGCACUUUCAGUGGGGAAGAAAGCCUUGGGGCUAAUACCCUCGAGGAAGGACAUCACCCACAGAAGAAGCACCGGCUAACUCCGUGCCAGCAGCCGCGGUAAUACGGAGGGUGCGAGCGUUAAUCGGAAUUACUGGGCGUAAAGCGCGCGUAGGCGGUGUGAUAAGCCGGUUGUGAAAGCCCCGGGCUCAACCUGGGAACGGCAUCCGGAACUGUCAGGCUAGAGUGCAGGAGAGGAAGGUAGAAUUCCCGGUGUAGCGGUGAAAUGCGUAGAGAUCGGGAGGAAUACCAGUGGCGAAGGCGGCCUUCUGGACUGACACUGACGCUGAGGUGCGAAAGCGUGGGUAGCAAACAGGAUUAGAUACCCGGGUAGUC